GACGAACGCUGGCGGCGUGCUUAACACAUGCAAGUCGAACGGAAAGGCCUUUUCGGAGGUACUCGAGUGGCGAACGGGUGAGUAACACGUGGGUGAUCUGCCCUGCACUCUGGGAUAAGCCUGGGAAACUGGGUCUAAUACCGGAUAGGACCGCACUUUAGUGUGUGUGGUGGAAAGUUUUUUCGGUGUAGGAUGAGCCCGCGGCCUAUCAGCUUGUUGGUGGGGUAAUGGCCUACCAAGGCGGCGACGGGUAGCCGGACUGAGAGGUUGGUCGGCCACAUUGGGACUGGGAUACGGCCCAGCCUCCUACGGGGGGCAGCAGGGGGGAAUAUUGCAAAAUGGGCGAAAGCCUGAGGCCGGGACGCCGGGGGGGGGAUGACGGCCUUCGGGUUGUAAACUCCUUUCGCCGGGGAAGAAGCGUUUUGGGACGGGACCCGGAGAAGAAACACCGGCUAACUACGU
rnacentral:rRNA from 1 species